AAAGCAAGUCGAGCGAACAGAAGGGAGCUUGCUCCCGGAUGUUAGCGGCGGACGGGUGAGUAACACGUGGGUAACCUGCCUGUAAGACUGGGAUAACUCCGGGAAACCGGAGCUAAUACCGGAUAGUUCCUUGAACCGCAUGGUUCAAGGAUGAAAGACGGUUUCGGCUGUCACUUACAGAUGGACCCGCGGCGCAUUAGCUAGUUGGUGGGGUAAUGGCUCACCAAGGCGACGAUGCGUAGCCGACCUGAGAGGGUGAUCGGCCACACUGGGACUGAGACACGGCCCAGACUCCUACGGGAGGCAGCAGUAGGGAAUCUUCCGCAAUGGACGAAAGUCUGACGGAGCAACGCCGCGUGAGUGAUGAAGGUUUUCGGAUCGUAAAGCUCUGUUGUUAGGGAAGAACAAGUGCGAGAGUAACUGCUCGCACCUUGACGGUACCUAACCAGAAAGCCACGGCUAACUACGUGCCAGCAGCCGCGGUAAUACGUAGGUGGCAAGCGUUGUCCGGAAUUAUUGGGCGUAAAGGGCUCGCAGGCGGUUUCUUAAGUCUGAUGUGAAAGCCCCCGGCUCAACCGGGGAGGGUCAUUGGAAACUGGGAAACUUGAGUGCAGAAGAGGAGAGUGGAAUUCCACGUGUAGCGGUGAAAUGCGUAGAGAUGUGGAGGAACACCAGUGGCGAAGGCGACUCUCUGGUCUGUAACUGACGCUGAGGAGCGAAAGCGUGGGGAGCGAACAGGAUUAGAUACCCUGGUAGUCCACGCCGUAAACGAUGAGUGCUAAGUGGUUAGGGGGUUUCCGCCCCUUAGUGCUGCAGCUAACGCAUUAAGCACUCCGCCUGGGGAGUACGGUCGCAAGACUGAAACUCAAAGGAAUUGACGGGGGCCCGCACAAGCGGUGGAACAUGUGGUUUAAUUCGAAGCAACGCGAAGAACCUU
rnacentral:rRNA from 1 species